UAACGAAUCUUCCGCAAUGCGCGAAAGCGUGACGGGGCAAUGCCGCGUGCAGGAUGAAGCCCCUCGGGGUGUAAACUGCUGUCAGGGUGCAGGAAAGACAUGACCAUACCCAAAGGAAGCACCGGCUAACUCUGUGCCAGCAGCCGCGGUAAUACAGAGGGUGCGAGCGUUAAUCGGAAUCACUGGGCUUAAAGGGUGCGUAGGCGGAUGCAUAGGCGCUUUGUGAAAUCCCACGGCUCAACCGUGGAAUUGCUUGGCGAACCAUGCGUCUUGAGGUUGGUAGAGGUCACUGGAACGAUAGGUGGAGCGGUGAAAUGCGUAGAUAUCUAUCGGAACGCCAAAGGUGAAGACAGGUGACUGGGCCAAAUCUGACGCUGAGGCACGAAAGCGUGGGGAGCAAACGGG
rnacentral:rRNA from 1 species